AUGACAUUUGAAACUCACAAUGUGAAAAAAAUGGAACUUUUGUAAUAUCGAGGAUCCCUCCAUUGACCUUCCUAGAAAAAGGAUCUCUAAUUUCACUAAUACAACAUGAAGAAGGUUAAGAAGUCUCCAAGACAGGUGGCUGCUUACAUAAACAGAACAGUUGGACAAGGUGUGAAAAGCCCAGAUUAAAGCACAUAAGGCAGUCUAUUUCAGAAAGUUAAUCAUCCCUUUCUAAAUUCUUGUUACAGAAAAAACAGUUGCCUAGAAGUGGGGAUUGUGCCACGGCAAAUGAGAAAAUGAACUGACUUGUGCAGGCUACCUGCCUGAAAAAUUAAGCCAUGACAGUUGAGUCACACAUAUUUGAUUAAUUCCAGUGAUUCUGGUUCUUCCCAAACAGAAAACCCAUCAUCACAGUAUAGUGGGUUUUUUUCUAAGGUUUCUCAGGACCAUGAAACAAUGGCCAAAAUUUUGUUCAGCAGGAAAACUGUUGAUUUUUUUCUGAAAAAGCUCAUUGAAUGUAGCUUUAACUUUUAAGAGAAGUACAAGUGAACUUGUAGCUUAUUUGGUGAGGAUAGAAGAGCUUGGAGCUGUGGUAGAUUGCCUUCUUGUGGUUACCAACAGUUUACAGAAGAAAGCCAGUACACUUGUUACUUCUAGUAAAGUGACUGCUUUAAAGCAAAUUUGAAGAGUAUGUAAUAGUUGCUUCAAGCAGUCAUAAAAAGGUGGUGGUCAGAAUUAUCAUCCAAACAGAAAUUAUAAAUGACGGAAAUAUUCUGUUUUAAAACAAAUAAGUGGAUUGUAGGAAAUCCACAGGAAAAUCAUCUUACUUUGGUUCCAGGAUAUACUGGUAUAUGAUGAGAUGCCAUAAAUAAGAAUCAGGAUACAGAUGCUUAUUUAUUACAGUUGCAU
rnacentral:lncRNA from 1 species